rnacentral:rRNA from 1 species
GGGCCCGCACAAGCGGUGGAGCAUGUGGUUUAAUUCGAUGAUACGCGAGGAACCUUACCAGGGCUUAAAUGUAAGUUGCAUAGACCAGAGAUGGUCUUUUCUUCGGACUACUUACAAGGUGCUGCAUGGUUGUCGUCAGCUCGUGCCGUGAGGUGUCAGGUUAAGUCCUAUAACGAGCGCAACCCCUGUCGUUAGUUGCCAUCAAGUAAAGUUGGGUACUCUAGCGAGACUGCCGGUGCAAACCGUGAGGAAGGUGGGGAUGACGUCAAAUCAUCACGGCCCUUACGUCCUGGCUACACACGUGCUACAAUGGCCGGUACAGAGAGCAGCCACUACGCGAGUAGGAGCGAA